ACUUCUGAGGAGUCCCACAAUCGGACGAAACGCGCGUCCUAGAU
rnacentral:hammerhead_ribozyme from 1 species